UACGGAGGGUGCAAGCGUUGUUAGGAUUUACUGGGCGUAAAGCGUGCUUAGGCGGGUUUGCAUGUCAGGUGUGAAAUCCCCCGGCUCAACCGGGGAGGGUCGCUUGAAACUGCAAGCCUUGAGUCCCGAAGAGGUGAGUGGAAUUCCCAGUGUAGAGGUGAAAUUCGUAGAGAUUGGGAGGAACACCGGAGGCGAAAGCGACUCACUGGUCGGGCACUGACGCUCACAUACGAAAGCGUGGGUAGCAAACAGG
rnacentral:rRNA from 1 species